rnacentral:misc_RNA from 1 species
GAUGAAGAACGUAGCGAAAUGCGAUAAGUAAUGUGAAUUGCAGAAUUCAGUGAAUCAUCGAAUCUUUGAACGCACAUUGCGCCCGCCAGUAUUCUGGCGGGCAUGCCUGUUCGAGCGUCAUUUCAACCAUCAAGCCCCAGGCUUGUGUUGGAGCCCUGCGGCUGCCGCAGCCUCCCAAAACCAGUGGCGGGCUCGCUAUAACACCGAGUGCAGUAGUUUACUCUUCGCUCAGGGCGUGUGGCGGGUGCUAGCCGUAAAACCCCCAACUUCUCAAGGUUGACCUCGGAUCAGGUAGGAAUACCCGCUGAACUUAAGCAUAUCAAUAAGCGGAGGA